GAACGGCAGCACGGGGGCAACCNUGGUGGCGAGUGGCGAACGGGUGAGUAAUGCAUCGGAACGUGUCCUGUUGUGGGGGAUAACCAGUCGAAAGACUGGCUAAUACCGCAUGAGAUCGAGAGAUGAAAGCGGGGGACCGCAAGGCCUCGCGCGAUAGGAGCGGCCGAUGCCGGAUUAGCUAGUUGGCGGGGUAAAAGCCCACCAAGGCGACGAUCUGUAGCUGGUCUGAGAGGAUGAUCAGCCACACUGGGACUGAGACACGGCCCAGACUCCUACGGGAGGCAGCAGUGGGGAAUUUUGGACAAUGGGCGCAAGCCUGAUCCAGCCAUGCCGCGUGUGUGAAGAAGGCCUUCGGGUUGUAAAGCACUUUCGGACGGAACGAAAUCGCGCGGGUGAAUAAUCCGCGUGGAUGACGGUACCGUAAGAAAAAGCACCGGCUAACUACGUG
rnacentral:rRNA from 1 species